AAGUCAGAAAUAUAAGCGAAUACUGAUGAAAGUAUCAGUUAGUACGUCUAUGGUGUCAAGCCGCAUACACUAUCACGUAAAUAAAAACACUAGUCCACAUCUACUCCUGAGUUGAAAAUGGGAGUCAACCCGGGCGAGGGUAGGUGAAGAGGCGGGGGGGGAGGAGAAGGGGGUGUGGGGGGUGAGCGCAAUGACAGUUAGGGGACCGAUNUUUUCAACUCCGACCUGUGGUUAAUUAGAGAUUAAGCAAUUAUAGCUUUAGUAAUAUAGAUGUGUCGAGCCUCUGCGACAAGCCGCAAGCGUACGCCAGCGAUAGCAUAACGGUCGAAUAAGCAGCAAACGAGGUGACACCCAACGGGAUUUGUGACUUUAUGUGCAGCUCUGUUUAUCCUUGAUACCUUGGCUUAGCUUUUAUAGGCGCACAGCACUUGAUGGGGAAUAUCCGAGGCAGUACAUACGCUCUCUCCAUCCUGUUAUUUUGAGGUUAAUGUGAGAUGACCGGCACCGGAGCCCAACCCCUUAGCCAAUAAGUGUCAACCUUCGAGAGGGGCGAUCUAAAGAGACAUGCCGCAGACAACCGGGAGGGUGGGUGGGGAUGCUUUCACGUCCUCGUGUCCCUAAUGAGUAGGGUCACACACGUAAUUCAAUGGCCGGUACAUAGGCCAGCCAAAGUAGUGAGAGGGAGUUAAUCCCAGAGAUCCAUUCGGAGUCCGGAUUGCAGUAUGCAACUUGACUGCAUGAAGCCGGAAUCGCUAGUAAUCGCGGAUCAGCAUGUCGCGGUGAAUACGUUCCCGGGUCUUGUACACACCGCCCGUCGCACCAUGGGAGUGGGUUCCACCAGAAGUAGUUAGCCUAACCGCAAGGAGGGAGACUCCCACGGUGAGAUUCAUGACUGGGGUGAAGUCGUAACAAGGUAAUGGGAAA
rnacentral:rRNA from 1 species